ensembl:lncRNA
AUUCUGUCGCUCUCUUCUCUCUCCAGCAGACGUCCGGUGUGGUAGGGCAGCCGCCUGUUGAAUCCGGUUUUCCUUUGGGUUAAAUGCCCUGGACAACACCCACCAUUUACACUUUACCCUCAUGCACAUCCUACACUACUGAUAAUACUGACAUUCGCAUCCCAUCUGGAAUGGUUAUGGUUUUUCGUUGUUUUGUGUGUUAAAUAAAGAAUGUUACACCUCGGAAACCAGUGUAACUCCAAUCUUGUCAUGGCCCAAAGAGCCAGGUCGUGACAAAUGGGGGCUCGUCCAAUUCUGGUCAGUGAUUUGUUUGAUGAUCAAGUGUGUAGAUUUCGUGUGACGCGUGUUUUUGUGUGGAUCAGCUGUGAGCGGUUGGUGCGCGUUUGGUUUGGUGGUGAUCGCCAGGUUGUCUCUGUUGCGGAAAGUUUGGGAGUCAUGCUGGAUUUUGAAGGUUUAGCUCUGGUUCGUUGUAGCUCUGGUUCGUUGUUCUUUGGUCCGUUGUAGCUCUGGUUCGUUGUAGUUCGUUGGUCCGUUGUAGCUCUGGUUCGUUGUAGUUCGUUGGUCCGUUGUAGCUCUGGUUCGUUGUAGUUCGUUGGUCCGUUGUAGUUCGUUGGUCCGUUGUAGCUCUGGUCCGUUGUAGUUCGUUGGUCCGUUGUAGUUCUGGUUGUGGAAGCGUUUAGAGGUUUUUGUUUUUUUUCUCUUUCGCGAAGUCGAUUGCGCGUGGUCCAAAGAGAAAGUACGUGUUGCCGCCCUGAUGCGCUGUGUUUGGAGUUUCCCUGUCAGGUUAUAGUGGCGUCUCCCCUUUGGGUUGAGUCAGUUUUUUUUUGUAGUGUUGUGGCAACGUGGUUAGUGUCAGCUGUCUAUGGACGGUUGUCUCGGGAGCACGUCCGUGGGAUCCUGCGUUGUGGCCUACUUGUGGGUGACUUCUCAGACCUGCUGGUUUCCAGUGCGUAAUUACCCACCGCAAGCUGCAUGAAGACUAGGUACCUGGUUGCAGAGCUGGGGCGUAGUUUCAAUGUGGAGGGUGCUAAGCAGACGUCCGGUGUGGUAGGGCAGCCGCCUGUUGAAUCCGGUUUUCCUUUGGGUUAAAUGCCCUGGACAACACCCACCAUUUACACUUUACCCUCAUGCACAUCCUACACUACUGAUAAUACUGACAUUCGCAUCCCAUCUGGAAUGGUUAUGGUUUUUCGUUGUUUUGUG